rnacentral:lncRNA from 1 species
UGCCACCUGGGAGCCAAACCCUACAAGUGCAAGGUUUGUGGGAAAACCUUUGGACUCAGAGCCUCCCUGGCCCAGCACAGCAAUGUCCAUGCAGAGACCCGUCCGUAUUUCUGUGAGCAGUGUGGGAAGACCUUCACGCAGCAGGGAGCGCUGCGGCGGCACCAGCGCAUCCACACCGGAGAGAAACCGUACCGGUGCCGCGCCUGCGAGAGGAGCUUCACCGACAUGUCCACCCUGCGCCGGCACGUGGCGAUUCAUGACCGGAAUGCACACUGGAGAAGCUUCUUGAUCGACC